rnacentral:lncRNA from 1 species
CAAUAAACACAGCUGUGCACAUAUGACUGUGAUGUGUUGACUUGGAGUCCUUCAGAGUAGUAUAGCUUGGUCAUGUAGUAGCUUUAUUUUCAGGUUUUGUUUUGUUUUGUUUCAUUUCCAUAGGGGUUGCCUAGUUUGCUCUCCUACUAGUGGAGUGAAUAAUGGUUCCUUUCUCCCAUAUCCUCACUGGCAUUUGCCACUUGGUUUCCUGAUGAUAGCCAUUCUGCCUGAGCAACUCCCAAAUUGCCCACAAGAAAGCGACUUGCCGUGUAAAAGGAAAUCACUACAUGGAAUGCAACAGAAAUGAAGCGAGGACAGGUUUCAAGCCCGUGUUUAUUGCGCAUUGCCAUUACCCAAGAGGAGUGACAAAGAAGUGUAGGGAGACACCGUAACCACGACUCUUAAGGGUGUGUACUGACUUCAAUCAAGUUGAGGAUUUCAACCUAAAUCUUCAAUCAAGGAAAUCCCAUCUAACAUGGACUGGAUAUAACCGGUUAGAGACUUUCACUAUACUAACAUUUUUCCCCACAGGACCCCACAAGGCUACCAUCGUCCCAUUUCAGCAGGAAGUAACUUGGAGGAUGCUACGCCCCCGUUCCCCAUUAUUGUCUAUUAGGGUAGUGUAAGCCUGGUUAGGAAUGACCUUCCUAUUGUUUAGGGUUGGGAUUGGAAGGAGGUGUUCAGGUUUGGACACCUCUUUCAGAUGAUUUUAGGGUUUAGCUGAAAUAGACAUAGUUAGGAUGUGACAUAAGCAGAUUAUUGUAUCUUCUUGUAUUUCACCUUUAUGAUUGUUAAUUUUGGAUAUUUUACACUAUUAAGUUUUAAUCCUCUUUUAGACUAAAGGGGGAAUUGUAGGAAGAUACCGUAACCACACCUCCUAAGGGCUGGCUACAGGUGUGGUCAAGGUGAGGUCAGAGUGACGCGGCAUGGGCUCUUAAGGGACCACGAGCACAUGGGACACCGCUUCCCCUUCGGCUGGCCCUUCUCUCUGACCUCCCUGCCUUGCUGCCCCUGGGCAUGCUCUGGCUUGCGUUUGGCUGGUAUUUAUCUGAAUAAAGGUAUCUUGAAUCUACAAGUGUUUCCCUUCAAAGAAGAGCUUGAGUAUGUGUGUUCAGAAGUGACUACCAUGAGGGUGGAGAGCAACCACCUAUCCAGCAAAACCAAAGCCUUGGCCUAGACAGGAAUACAGAAGAGGGACCACAGCAACCUUCAUGGAGGGAUCGCUUGAAAUGUUUUCCUUCCUUGGUGGCUGGCAGCUAGGUGCUCCCUAUGGGACGCAGUUCACACAUUGACAUCACCCUCCCAAAGCACUGAGCCAAUUCCAUCUGAUCACAGCCUUCAACAGUGAGGAAAUUCAUCCGCCUCCCACACCACUGCCAACUGUAGGUUCAUCUUUAUCUUCACCACUCCUUAGAUGGAAGAAAAACACUUCCUACCAUGCUUGCUGAGAAGCACAAUGAUCAAUCAUCCAUCUCAUUUUCAGUGUGCACAUAUGGGACACAAGUGCUAUGUGAUGAACUGGAAAGGAGAUUUGUAGCCAGAGACUGAAUGCAUAGACUUCUACCUCCUCUGCCUACAGUAGUCCAACAGGCAAGUCAAAGAUGGGGACAUGGACCACUGGACUGCAAGGAGGGUUAAGAGAGAUGAAUAACUGCUUCUGCAAGACUGAGGAUGACAGAGGCUAUGUGGAAACAGCCCAAUGCUGUCCCAUUUUUUUAAUUUUUUUCCUUAGUUUAGAACUGUCACCUUUCAAACUUAAAGAUGCACAUUAAUAGUCAGGCUCUUGGGUCACUCAGGGGAUUUUAGAACAAAAAGGGCCAUAUGCUGAAACCAGAGUCGAGUUCCUAGAAAACAUUAGAGGAACCAAAGACCAGUAUGCUCUCCCCAAACUUCUUAUGUCUCCUUACACUGAGUGCAUGACUGAAAGAGAAGAGUUUCUGGAAAUAUCUCAGGACACAUUUGGACAUUGUGGAUUGGAUCCCAUGGGAGUUAACAAUGAACCUACUGCCCUAAGAUGCCCCAGUGUGUUCACUUUGUGCUUAGGAUGGAGAAUAUCAGCUUCAACAGCUCCAAAAUGGAUACAU